CAGUAGCCACGGUAAUACGAAGGGGGCUAGCGUUGCUCGGAAUUACUGGGCGUAAAGGGAGCGUAGGCGGAUCGUUUAGUCAGGGGUGAAAUCCCGGGGCUCAACCUCGGAACUGCCUUUGAUACUGGCGAUCUUGAGUAUGGGAGAGGUGUGUGGAACUCCGAGUGUAGAGGUGAAAUUCGUAGAUAUUCGGAAGAACACCAGUGGCGAAGGCGACACACUGGCCCAUUACUGACGCUGAGGCUCGAAAGCGUGGGGAGCAAACAGGAUUAGAUACCCGCGUAGUCCCUGUCUCUUAUAC
rnacentral:rRNA from 1 species